CUUCAGCCUUGUGUCACUGUUUCCAUAAAGUCCCCGGGAGACCACCUGGCUGGUCACACCUAGAUCCUGCACCUAGAUCCUGCACUGACCACCAGGAGCAGAAGGGAGAGGAGAGGACUGAACCUGGCCUGUGGCUUUCACACAGCAUAGUAUUGCUCAGGAGUUUGUCAUCCCGCCCAAAUGAUGCCUCUGAGGGAGACGGCAAAAGCAAGUUGAUACACUUGCCAAUUGAGUAUUCCACAAACCUCAGAAAAAUCAGAGAGAAAUGCAGGGAAGUGCUUGGAGCCAGAUUCCACAUCUGCAUCUUCACACGGAGAGAUAGCUGACACAGGAUCCCCUUCUCCGAAGGUGGGUUCUUUACCACUAGUGCCAUCUGGGAAGCCCUCUGCAGAUGUUCACUGUAUCCCAAAGCCUGUUGUUAAAGUUGGAACAAUUAUCCAUGGAGCCCCAGGGCCCAAGCCACUUCCCGGUCUCCGCAGAACAAAGCUGCAAACCCAGCUGCACGGACCCCCAAGAGAAGCCCCUCGCUCAGAGGCCCCUGGCUUGGGGAUAAAUUCCUUCUCAGCUCUCCUCACCCCGGCUGAAGCCAGCUCCUUGGAGGAAGAUGUGCUUCUGUCUCGCCUGAAGAAGCCACUCUUAGGAGCCAGGGGUCCCUCUGGAGGCAGUUCUGAGCUUCCUAGCCUGCUGAGUCUUUCUAGAGAGGAUGUGAUCCACAGAGAAGCCCCACACAUUGGUCCAGUCUCCACGGUUCUCCGUCCUGCUCUGGGGCUUCAGAGAUUGAUGUCUAAGACAGGACCAAGGAGCUCCCUCACUCUCUUGCUUCUAG
ensembl:lncRNA